rnacentral:rRNA from 1 species
UACGAAGGGGGCUAGCGUUGCUCGGGAUCACUGGGCGUAAAGCGUGCGUAGGUGGUUUGUUAAGUCUGAUGUGAAAGCCCUGGGCUCAACCUGGGAACGGCAUUGGAAACUGGCUUACUAGAGUGCGGUAGAGGGGUGUGGAAUUCCCGGUGUAGCAGUGAAAUGCGUAGAUAUCGGGAGGAACAUCUGUGGCGAAGGCGACACCCUGGACCAGCACUGACACUGAGGCACGAAAGCGUGGGGAGCAAACAGG